CUGAGUCUAGAUACACAGAAGUUGCGUUUGUAACAACAAACACGAGAGUCAAAGCGUCUCCAAGACGCGUUUCUCACACUCUACAACACUUCCCCUCACCUAUUUAUACUGCAAAUACCAAAUUUAGAAAUAAUAAUCACAUCAAGAAGACGAAGAAGAAGAAGAAGUUUCAGACUACAUACGAUUUGAAUCGACGACGAUGACCAAUCCACCUGAUGCAGAUCUCUCCGAUCGUAGCCGUUCGAUCGUGAUUCGUUCGGUCUGGGCUGAGAAUCUCGACU
rnacentral:lncRNA from 1 species